AGCCGGAGUGCCGUGACGCUGGCUGGGAACGGCAAGGAGCAGGUGCCCGUCUGCCCCCGCUCGGCCUCCGCCAGCCCCCUCAGCCCCUGCCACAACCACCGCCUGCAACACCGCUGCUGGGAUAGGCGGAAGGGGACCGCUGGCAGCCCUGACGUGACGCCGCGCCGCAGGACCGAGUCCUCGCC